CACGUUUAUCUCUCUGGUUGGUCGAUAUUAAGAUGUGCAAAAAAAAAUGGUUUUUUUUAAGUGGCAUUUUUCAAGAAAAACUGGAUUUCAUGAGGCCCGGUCAACCCACACCGCCGCUAGCUGGCUUGAUUCAACACAGAAAUUAAAGUACGGACCACUGUCAGAGCAGUAUGUAUGAACGCUAAAGCUAGCUUACACAGUUGAGCAGGAGCAAAGAAAGAAAGCCUUCUGCAACUGCAUCCGCAAAUCUGGGAGCCGCCAACACUGCAGGAGACCGAGAAAAGGAUUUGCAGAACGGGAUGAAACAGACAACAUCUGUCCGUCACCUCUGACGAUUCAUCAAAGACGGUUAGGUUGGGCCGCCCUGCUGCUCGACGGAUCCAGUUUGCCCAAAUUGGGAGACGAGGACGGGGAGUGGAU